AUUGAACGCUGGCGGCAGGCCUAACACAUGCAAGUCGGGCGAGCGGCGGACGGGUGAGUAAUGUAUGGGGCUCUGCCUGAUGGAGGGGGAUAACUACUGGAAACUGUAGCUAAUACCGCAUACCAUCAGAUGCACCCAUAUGGGAUUAGCUAGUAGGUGAGGGAACGGCUUACCUAGGCGACGAUCCCUAGCUGGUCUGAGAGGAUGAUCAGACACAAUGGGACGGAGAUACGGCCCAGACUCCUACGGGAGGCAGAAGUGGGGGAUAGUGCACAAUGGGCGAAAGCCUAAUGCGGGGAGGCCGCGUGGGGGAUGAAGGCUUUCGGGUUGUAAAGCUCUUUCGCAAUCGAACGGGUAGGUGGAGAAGAAGCGCCGGCUAACUACGUGCCAGCAGCCGCGGUAAUUC
rnacentral:rRNA from 1 species